AUACGUAGGGGGCGAGCGUUGUCCGGAAUGAUUGGGCGUAAAGGGCGCGUAGGCGGCCCGGUAAGUCUGGAGUGAAAGUCUUGUUUUUAAGAUGGGAAUUGCUUUGGAUACUGUCGGGCUUGAGUGCAGGAGAGGUAAGUGGAAUUCCCAGUGUAGCGGUGAAAUGCGUAGAGAUUGGGAGGAACACUAGUGGCGAAGGCGACUUUCUGAACUGAACCUGACGCUGAUGCGCGAAAGCAUGGGGAGCAAACAGGAUUAGAUACCCUGGUAGUCCAUGCCGUAAACGAUGAUGGCUAACCGCUGGGCUUAUCAGUUCAGUGGCCAAGCGAAAGCGAUAAGCAAUCCACCUGGGGAGUAAGACCGCAAGGUUGAAACUCAAAUGAAUUGACGGGG
rnacentral:rRNA from 1 species